rnacentral:rRNA from 1 species
UGCCAGCAGCCGCGGUAAUACGAAGGGGGCUAGCGUUGUUCGGAAUUACUGGGCGUAAAGCGUACGCAGGCGGCUCAUUAAGUCGGGUGUGAAAGCCCGGGGCUCAACCCCGGAAUUGCGCCCGAUACUGGUGAGCUUGAGUACGGGAGAGGGAUAGCGGAAUUCCUGGUGUAGAGGUGAAAUUCGUAGAUAUCAGGAGGAACACCAGUGGCGAAAGCGGCUUCCUGGCCCGAUACUGACGCUCAUGUACGAAAGCGUGGGGAGCAAACAGGAUUAGAUA